AAAUGCAUUAACCAAUUACAGGUAUCCAAGAUGCAAAGAAACAUGAUGGAAAAUAGUCUUUGGGAAAAUUAAUCUGGCAGCAGGGGUGUUCAGGGGCCUGUCUUGGCUCCACCAGGGGCAGCCCAUGGAAACUACUAUGAUCUUGUUUCACCCCCAGUGAUUACAUGGGGAGGGAGGUGCUCCCAAUUCUGAUGGAGGAGAAUUGGAGAUUGGAAUUUAGAUUGAAUUCAGUAUCUCUCUCUGUCUCUCUCUCUCUCUCUCUCCCAUUAACACUUACAACGACUGUGAUUGUAUGACCUUAGAACUCAGUCAUUCUGGUAUGAAAUUGUGUGAUGGAGAAUGAAUUUGCUGGGAAGUUGAUUUUGGUCUCACUUCAGCAUCUUCUCAUUAUUUAUGCACAUGAAACCUUUCAUGUGCGACACUUAUUCUAUUCUCAAGUGCUAAAUGAAACAUUUAAGACAGGAGUGGAAACUGUUCACUUUCUCAUAUGAAAGCAAGAUUCAGUGAUUCUGUAAGGAGGUAGUCACUGGUAUUGUGUUAGGUAUUAAGGGGCAUAUGUGCUUAAACAGAGAAAUAUGUCUAAAAUAUUUAAAUUCUAAUAUAAAAAAGAAAGUGACUGUAUUAUUUAGGGCUGCAUUUUAGUUGUAAGAAAAAAGUCCAACUCAAGCAAAAAUGGCCCACACAAUGGAACAGUCCCAGGACCCACCGGCUUCAGGGGCUGCUCCAGCAAUGGCGCCCGGACUCCCUCUUGCUCCGCGUGCCUUCCCAUGCACUGGCUUCGUGCUUCAGCGGGGUCUCUGCUGAUGGUGCCAUUGAUGACUGACCUCCAUGAGCUUGCUUUACCCCCUGCCAGCUUAAGAACAGUAGUGAAAGAGAACAUGUGUGUCCUCCCAUUUCCAGUAAAAACUUCAGGCAGGAGCCUCACUGGCUCAGCUUGGUCCCGUUUCCAUCUCCCAUGCCAUCUCCGGCCAGGUGACAGGCUACCAUGUCACUGCCUAGGGAAGUUUAGGAAGAGAGUGGCAAAGUGGUGCAUUAGAAAGAACAUGGCCAGGUCACCCCACCUCCUGGGCGGCAGGCCCAACUCCACCAGUGGUCCACUGUGUGACUUCCCUGCUCCCUCUAAGCAAGUCACUCCUCUCCUCUGGGUCUCUGUUUCCUUACCUAUAAAAUGAGAACGUUUCUUCAUGUGAUCUCAAGUCCCUUUUAAAAUCGCUAGGAUUCUUUGAAAACCUUUUCUAUCAUCUAGUGCAGAGAACUUGUUGAGGAAGUUGGGAUUGGAAUGAGCCUCAGCAGAUGGGCAAGGUUUGAAUAGGAAGAGAAGAGACAUUUCAGGAGAAAGAAACAACAUAGAGAGACAGAUGUAGGUAUAAGAUAUGGUAAUAAGCCAAAAUGUAUUAAGAGUUAUAAAUGCAUGAAAUCAUCAUCAAAGCUUGCUUAGUGAUUAACUGCUUAUAUUUUGCCAGUGCAUAUGAUGUGACAUUUUUCUUUAACUCAAACACUAAAUUACGAUGUCCUCAGGUUAUCAUAAACCCCAUUUGACUUCAUGCCUCUACUCUCUCAGGGCUGGCGCUGUGACAACUGCCGCAGACCUGGGGGUGAACCCAGUCCCGAAGGCACUACUGGCCAGUCCUACAACCAGUAUUCUCAGAGAUACCAUCAGAGAACAAACACUAAUGUUAAUUGCCCAAUUGAGUGCUUCAUGCCUUUAGAUGUACAGGCUGACAGAGAAGAUUCCCGAGAGUAAAUCAUCUUUCCAAUCCAGAGGAACAAGCAUGUCUCUCUGCCAAGAUCCAUCUAAACUGGAGUGAUGUUAGCAGACCCAGCUUAGAGUUCUUCUUUCUUUCUUAAGCCCUUUGCUCUGGAGGAAGUUCUCCAGCUUCAGCUCAACUCACAGCUUCUCCAAGCAUCACCCUGGGAGUUUCCUGAGGGUUUUCUCAUAAAUGAGGGCUGCACAUUGCCUGUUCUGCUUCGAAGUAUUCAAUACCGCUCAGUAUUUUAAAUGAAGUGAUUCUAAGAUUUGGUUUGGGAUCAAUAGGAAAGCAUAUGCAGCCAACCAAGAUGCAAAUGUUUUGAAAUGAUAUGACCAAAAUUUUAAGUAGGAAAGUCACCCAAACACUUCUGCUUUCACUUAAGUGUCUGGCCCGCAAUACUGUAGGAACAAGCAUGAUCUUGUUACUGUGAUAUUUUAAAUAUCCACAGUACUCACUUUUUCCAAAUGAUCCUAGUAAUUGCCUAGAAAUAUCUUUCUCUUACCUGUUAUUUAUCAAUUUUUCCCAGUAUUUUUAUACGGAAAAAAUUGUAUUGAAAACACUUAGUAUGCAGUUGAUAAGAGGAAUUUGGUAUAAUUAUGGUGGGUGAUUAUUUUUUAUACUGUAUGUGCCAAAGCUUUACUACUGUGGAAAGACAACUGUUUUAAUAAAAGAUUUACAUUCC
rnacentral:lncRNA from 1 species